AGUUGCCCACAAAGCACCAUGAAACACAACAUUGGUCAUGCAAACAAAAGUCUACCAGAAACAAAAGCCUCUCAACAGUAACCAACAGCAACCAAAGACCACUAGAUAAUUCCUAAACUCAAAAUUCAAUAAAUCCCUUCGUCCACAACUACUUAGCUUCAUGCUUAGCCUUCGAAUGAGCCUGCAGAGCAUUUUCCGAGUUGAAUGUCCUGCUGCAGGAUUUGCAGGUCACAGCACCACCAGAUUUCGGAGUACUUGGCUUAGGAGCUUGCUGCUUAGACUUCUCAUUGUUGGAAGCAUUCUUUCCAACCUGUUUAGGGUAUGGAGUCGCAGUAUGGGAGCCUUUUUUGCCAUCCCCAUCAGAUUUCUUGGUAGCAGGAGUUACAAGUUUCGCCUUCUUCUCAGGACCAGAUGAUUUGUUGGAAGAAUCACCAGCUCUCUUCUUGCUAACUUCAUCCUUUUUAGGAGUAACAUCUUCUUCAUCUGAACUAUCAUCAUCAUCCUCUU
rnacentral:misc_RNA from 1 species